GACGAACGCUGGCGGCGUGCCUAACACAUGCAAGUCGAACGGAGAUUAUUAAUGAAGCUUGCGAUUUAAUAAUCUUAGUAGCGGACGGGUGAGUAACGCGUGGGUGACCUGCCCAUAAGUGGGGGAUAACAGUUGGAAACGACUGCUAAUACCGCAUAAGCUGUGCAAACAGUAAAGAUGGCCUCUGAAGAUGCUAUCGCUUAUGGAUGGGCCCGCGUCUGAUUAGCUAGUUGGUGGGGUAAAGGCCUACCAAGGCGACGAUCAGUAGCCGGCCUGAGAGGGUGAACGGCCACACUGGGACUGAGACACGGCCCAGACUCCUACGGGAGGCAGCAGUGGGGAAUAUUGCGCAAUGGGGGAAACCCUGACGCAGCGACGCCGCGUGAGCGAAGAAGGCUUUAGGGUCGUAAAGCUCUGUUUUAAGGGACGAAUGUUUAUGCGGGUAACUACGUAUAAAAUGACGGUACCUUAAGAGAAAGCCCCGGCUAACUACGUGCCAGCAGCCGCGGUAAGACGUAGGGGGCGAGCGUUGUCCGGAAUUACUGGGCGUAAAGAGCACGUAGGCGGGAAUUUAAGUCAGAUGUGAAAGACCGGGGCUCAACUCCGGGGUUGCAUUUGAAACUAGAUUUCUUG
rnacentral:rRNA from 1 species